rnacentral:rRNA from 1 species
GGAGUUUGGGCCGUGUCUCAGUCCCAAUGUGGGGGGCCAUCCUCUCAGAUCCCCUACCGAUCGUAGCUUUGGUGGGCCGUUGCCCCGCCAACUGGCUAAUCGGACGCGAGCCUAUCCGUGGACAUCUCUCGACUAUCAAAUCAUGAACAUGUGAUCACGAUUGUUACGGGGUAUUAGGCGGCGUUUCCACCGGUUAUCCCCCAACCACGGGCAAGUUGCUCACGCGUUACGCACCCUUCCGCCGGUCGCCGACAUGUAUUGCUACACUCGCUGCCCCGCGACUUGCAUGUGUUAAGCCUGCCGCUAGCGUUCAUC